AGCAGCCGCGGUAAUUCCAGCUCCAAUAGCGUAUAUUAAAGUUGUUGCAGUUAAAAAGCUCGUAGUUGAAUUUCGGGAUCAAGGGAUCGGUCAUGCCUUGGUAUGUACUGGUUUUAUUGGUUCUCACCUUCUAAAGAACCAUGAUGUCAUUCAUUUGAUGUUAUGGGGAAUUAGGACUGUUACCUUGAAAAAUUAGAGUGUUUAAAGCAAGCUUACGCUUGAAUACAUUAGCAUGGAAUAAUGAAAUAGGACAUCAGAUUCUAUUUUGUUGGUUUCUAGGAUCGAUGUAAUGAUUAAUAGGGAUAGUUGGGGGCAUUAGUAUUCAAUUGUCAGAGGUGAAAUUCUUGGAUUUAUUGAAGACUAACUACUGCGAAAGCAUUUGCCAAGGAUGUUUUCAUUAAUCAAGAACGAAAGUUAGGGGAUCGAAGACGAUCAGAUACCGUCGUAGUC
rnacentral:rRNA from 1 species